UACGUAGGGUGCAAGCGUUGUCCGGAAUUAUUGGGCGUAAAGCGCGCGCAGGCGGUCUCUUAAGUCUGAUGUGAAAGCCCACGGCUCAACCGUGGAGGGUCAUUGGAAACUGGGGGACUUGAGUACUGGAGAGGAGAGUGGAAUUCCAUGUGUAGCGGUGAAAUGCGUAGAUAUCAGGAAGAACACCCGUGGCGAAGCGAGGUCCUGGACGCCUACUGACGCUGAGACGCGAAGCCAGGGGAGCGAACGGG
rnacentral:rRNA from 1 species